rnacentral:misc_RNA from 1 species
UACGAAGGGGGCUAGCGUUGUUCGGAAUUACUGGGCGUAAAGGGCGCGCAGGCGGCUUGCCCAGUCAGGCGUGAAAGCCCCGGGCUCAACCCGGGAAAUGCGCUUGAUACUGGCAGGCUCGAGUUCGGGAGAGGUGAGUGGAAUUCCCAGUGUAGAGGUGAAAUUCGUAGAUAUUGGGAAGAACACCAGUGGCGAAGGCGGCUCACUGGACCGAUACUGACGCUGAGGCGCGAAAGCGUGGGGAGCAAACAGG